UACGGUCACAUCACUUUGAAACACCGUUUCCCGUACGAUCACAGAAGUUAAGGGACGUCGAGCUUGGUCAGUAGCUAGAUGGGAACCGUUUGGGAAUAUCAGGUGGU